CCUACGGGUGGCUGCAGUCGAGGAUCUUCGGCAAUGGGCGCAAGCCUGACCGAGCGACGCCGCGUGUGGGAUGAAGGCCUUCGGGUUGUAAACCACUGUCAGUGGGGAGGAAAUUCACGGGGGUUCUCCCCCGUGAUUGACUAAUCCGCAGAGGAAGGGUGGGCUAAGCUCGUGCCAGCAGCCGCGGUAAGACGAGCCACUCAAACGUUAUUCGGAAUUACUGGGCUUAAAGGGUGCGUAGGCGGUGUAGCAAGUCGGGAGUGAAAUACCUCAGCUCAACUGAGGAACUGCUCUCGAUACUGCUGCGCUUGAGUGAGACAGAGGUAAGCGGAACUUAGGGUGGAGCGGUGAAAUGCGUUGAUAUCCUAAGGAACACCGGUGGCGAAGGCGGCUUACUGGGUCUCUACUGACGCUGAGGCACGAAAGCUAGGGUAGCAAAC
rnacentral:rRNA from 1 species